GAAUGCCUCAUCAGUCCAAAUUCAAUUCAGAGGGCCUAGAAGAUUCCUGGAAAACUGCUGGACUUAGGUCUGUGUUGGACAGCUGCAGAAGCUAAAGUCUGAAGUCAGCACAGAGCAGACAUGUUCACAGCAAGAACUGACGACAGGUGGCCCCAGCCCUAGAGAAGAUUAUAAAGUGGGCGAAAACAGCUCUCAACAGACAGGCUCAUUCUGAGAUUCCAGGAGGAAGGAUCGCCAUUUCAAACUGAGCUUGAGGUGGCUUGGAGAAAUGGAAACAGUAUGGACACCAAAUCCCAACAACUCAUCCCCUCCAACCAGCUGCAAAGGACUGAGGACUCUACUUGAAAUCCAGAACAAUCCAGAUCUAACGACACACUACUUACAGACCUCUGGGAUUGGCUCAGUUAUUCUGAAGCAUACUUGAUCAAGAAUCCUUACAAGAUUUCUUAGCAAUCACCAUAUUGCUUAUGAUUUUAUUUCUUUUCCCCAGAGAAAAUCCAAAGAAACUAAUCCACAUACAACUUUUAAUUAAAUCACAGUGUGACAUCUGUAGAAAGUGUGUAUGAAACACAAUAACUCUCCGACACUGUUUCUACAAGACCUCUCCACACACCUGUCCGCACACAGAGUGAUAAAAGCUUGCACUCCUCAGUAGAAUGUGGUCCAUUUCUGCCCCGGGAAAGAGAUACAGGUGGAUACAGGUGACUUGAGAACAUGGCUCCUGUUGCUACCAAGGGAGCUCUAAUUCCUAGCAUGUGCCUAUGCUCUGCCAGGAAACUUUCCUGGCUCUCCUCCAAGUCGCAGCAAACUCUUGAAAUCCACGUGGGUUAUUCCAAAGUCAUAGUAAACUUCUUUUUGGUUCAGAGCCUCAAAGCCAUCAGUGAAACUCCUACAGAAUGAUUAACUGACCGGGUGACUGUGCCUUGGGGUGGAUAAGGAGGGAAAAUGUGAGCCCACGUGCUCUCAGUAUCCUGACAAUUCAGACUGUCCCACAAACCUCAGAAUCUCCCUCAUGGACCACGAUUGGCAGUCACUACCACCAGCUGCAUACCAAAGCCCCCUAGCCGGCUAACCAAGUGGCCUCCACACCAUGUGUGACUAUGCGUUAACCCUGCUCCUCACUAUUAAUAGGCCACAUGGUUGCGGAGUGUGACAUGAACACACCUGUCUCAAGAAAAUGCCAGGGGAAACAAGGCAUGAUUUGAACAAAGAGGUCAUUUGCUUCCUGUCAGGUGUUUCUAAACACAAAAAUUCUCGUCAGGUUGCCCACUGGCCCUAUUGCUUAAGACACCAUGUACUUUAAUUGCACAACACAAAGAAAUCAGGCUUGAACUAAUGUGAAAGUUUACUCCCUGCUGGUUGGCUUUCCUGGUGCCAAAAGGCAGUAUGCAGGAAGCUAGAGAAGAAAAAUCAUCUCAGUUGAGAAUCUUACAGACUGCAGUACCAGUCUGCUAGGCAGGACUGUCCACUGGUGCAGUCAUGGCAUGGCUGUUGCGGGAUAACCAACUGCAUUCUAAUUCAAUGUGAGGCUACUCUAAAGGACGAAAGGACGUUCAUGCCUGGUGCUAUGGGUGCGGGCAAAGGCCCAUGGCUGGGGAGAUCACAGGCUCUAAGAGUAAACCUGCUUCUUCUGUUUCACUAAAUGGACAUGUUGUCAAACUGUUCCCAAAAUGUUUAUUUACACCUAUAGACCAGUGCUGCCCCCAGCCUUGGUCAGAGAAGCUUCAUUUUUACAGCAAAUGGUGAUUAAUGCAGAAACUCAUAACCAAGGUGAUGAGAGUGACUGUUGAAUGCCCAGCUCUAAACAGGAUACUGGGGUCACUCCAAAGUUCAGGGAACAUUGCAGAAGAGACUUAAAGAACUUAAGAGCAGGACAAAAGGGAGGACUCUAAGAUGCUGUCUUGUGGAUAUGACAGAGUCUCCUUAUCCAGGAACUCACAGCAGCUGCAGGUGUCUACAUAGAGCCUGCACAAGCUUGGGCGAAUGAGCGUUCAGACAGUAUGGAAAAAGGACUCAGAGGACCUCAUCCUUCCCCUGAGAACUAGAGGCAGUCAUGGUUGCCUAGAGAAGGAAGGUUAAGUCUUCAGUGGUAUAACUACUGUUGAAUUGUCCAGGAUUGUAGGCCCAUAUUUCUAUAUGGUAUGGCAGCCAGUCUCUCAAGCCAUAGAUGGCACCUGAGGUGGUCAUGUAGCCUUCCAAACAGGCUAUCGCUACCCUAACAAAGGGGCAGGAUGUUGUUCUGCUCCUUUGUAAUUUGGAGGACGCCUGGGAUAGAGAUGCUAAUUCCGGCCUACAUGACAGAGCUGGCAUACAGAGCAGGAAGAUAGAAAGAUGUGACAAAAUGGGCAUAGAAAGGUGUGGUCAAAGGUGUGGGCAUGACUAAAGCCAUUCACCUGGUUACCUGGGAAACAGAAUGUUAAUGAAUUUCCCCCUCAGUUUAUGUUUUGAUAUAUAUGGCUGUUUGGAGAAUAAAUGCAGAGGAAUUUUCAGUAUGUGAACUCAGGAUUUCAUGAGGAUUCACUAAGAAUCUCCCUGCUAAUAAAGCUAUGUGAGUUGUGUCUUUAUUCCCAUGACUCCAUGUGGGUCCAGACAGAUAGUUUAUGUUGGGGAUGGACUUCGACACAGGCUCCAGGGGAGAACUCCACACAAUGUCCACUGGUUAAACCAGGAGGGUUACAAUACAAAAACAAAGCAGACAUGAAGAUGGGAAGGGGUUCGCUGGGAUGAGAGGGUGGUUGGCAGGGGUGGGAGGAAAUAGUAAAAGACAAGGCUGCUUACAACAUCAUACACUUUGGUUGUAGGACACAAAGAAAUCAGUCUUGAACUGAGCAGAAAGUUCUCCUGCUGGCUAGCUUUCCUGGCACUGAAAGAUGCCACGCUGGCUUCUGGCAGAUGAAAGACACCAACGGUCUUACCUAGCACUAGAUUCUACUGAUGAAAUAACAGACCUGCCAAGAAAGAUGCACCCACUGGAACAAUAGUGGCAAGACUGUCUGUGAGAAUAAACAACCAUUCCCUUGCUUGAAUUUGAAUCCUCUCCCACAAGAGGGCUUUCAUCAAUGGUACUGUAAGCAUAGUUAAAACCCAUGGCUGAACUCACAGUAUCUAUGACUACAGGCAUGAAACUUACACAAGAUCAAGCCAGUUAAAAGUUCCAGCAGACAUGGGGGAGGGGCUACCAAGGCCCCACCCCUAGCUAAGGAGCUGAUGGCAGUUGGUGGCUGUUGGGAGAGGUGGGUCACUUUUCUUAUGAGAUAUUGGUAGGUUGUCCAUGCCCCAAUGGAUAUGAAUAUGAGCCUUUAAUUGGAUGUACUGGCUGAAAAAUGUAUUUUUUUCAACAGACAUGAAGUUGAAAGGGAAAUGCGCUUGGUGUGGGCUGGGAGUCCUACAGGAAGUUGGAAGAGGGAAGGGGUGAAUAUGAUCAGGAUACAUUGUAUAUGUGUAUGAAAAUUUCAAUGAAACUUUGAACUAUUAUUUUUAAAAGGGUAGGAAUGAAUGGUAUGAUCAUAAUGCAUGAUAUACAUGCAUGAAACUAUCAGAGAAAUUUUUAAAAACCUUCUCAACAGUUCAUGAGAAAUAGCUUUCUGUCUCCACAAUCAAAAUGAGCCCAAUACUGAUGGCACAAGUCUAGCUUCAGUGGCAUGGAAAGCCAUGGAGUCACCGGUGCCAGAUGGCAACAGCUCUCCCACUGACAGGAAGACCUGGGGAACUAUUUUCAAAAGCCAAAACUUCAGUCUUCUGAUUUAUAAAUGUUCAGAACUAUUUUAAAUGCUUUGUGAACUAACUGAGCAUAUUCUAAAAUAGAUGGGCUGUGGUGUUCAAUCUUUCAGGACCCUGUCUUUUCUAAUAGUCCCACAGUUGGGAAAGGCAACCUCAAGUCACCAUGUCCUGAGAAAGGUGAUCAGAAAGGGUGGGCUGAAACCAAGGUCAAGCAUCACCUAUAGCUGAAUUCUGCCCGGGUCUCCCAUCCACCUUCUUCUCCCCUCUGAAUCAGAAAGUGGCCCCAGCAACAAUCUAACAGUAAUGCUGCAAAAAACUCUCUUCAUUGUACAUAUAGAAUUUCUGCCCCAUACAUUAUAGUUACUACAGGAUCACAUGAUCCCAAUUUCAAGCAGUAAGUCUGAAAAUCAACUUUAGUGCCAGCGCUGGAGUUUAGCCCACAUGCUGCCAAUCAGGUUUUGGGUAUCUUGUCAUAACUGCUAAUAUUCCACAAGUCAUCUGGUUUCAAGACUCCCCAGCUUCCAUCACUCCCACCUAUUUCUUUCUCUGCACCCUUGUAUUUGAUGAGUCGUCAUUUUUAUUGCUUUUUAAGGCCACGCACUUAUCAACUCAUAACCUCAGCGGCACCCCCAUCUUUUAUUUCACACCCACACUCUCGGCAGCCUCUGGACAGGACUGCCCACUGUGAUGGCUCUGCAGUGUCUUUCCCACAUCUGCACCAACCUCUGAAAUAGGGGUUUAAAACUUCCAUAAACUUUGAAACACUGUACUGGAGACUCUCGGGGGCCUCUUACUCAGCUCUAUAACUUGAGUAAAUGAUUUCACAUGAGAUCAGAUUCAGCACCAACAAAUUAAACACGAACCUUAAGGGUAAAGACAGUUGUCAAAUGUGAAAGGUGAAACAAGACAAUCCUUAGGAAUCUCAACAUAAAGACUGUUUUUUUUUUUUUAUAAAACCUUAAAUCUGAGAUUCUCAACCUGUGAGUCAUAACCCCUUUAGUAAACCGCUAUCUCCAAAAAUAUUUACAUUAGGAAAGAUAACAGUAGCAAAAUUACUUUUAUGAAGUAGCAAAAGAAAAUAAUUUAAUAGCGAGGGGUCACCACAACACGAACUAUAUUAAAAGGUCAUAGUAUUAGGAAUGUUGAGAACCACUGCUCUAAAUCAUAUUUGCCUUUUGAAUACUAAUAGUAUAUAAAUUAUAACUCCUUAUUGCAAUUAUUUGCACAAUAGGUUGCAAUAGUGUUUUGUGCAUGAAUUUUCACAAUAGAUUAGAUGAGAAUUCUACAAGAUUCUCAUGCACUGAUUUUAGCUGACAAAGUAAGUGUGCUUACUAGAUUUUUGUUUAACUUUUUUUCAAGUGAAAAAUGAGUGAUUAAAUCAACGCCUUUGAGCUGAAAGUAUAAGAUUGUGUUAUUUUUCUCAGUCAUAUUAUCAUAAAAUAAAUACUUUUGUAAAGGUGUUUUUAUUACUAUAUUUCUUUAAGCGUGUGUGUGUGUUUGUGUGCAUGCACGCAUGUGAGUUUGAUCCACAGAGCUAAAGCUCCAGGUGGUUGUGAGCUGCCCUACACAGGGUCAGGGAGGCUCUGGAAGAACAACAUCAAGUGCUCUUAACCACUGGGGCAUGUCUCCAAUCCCGAACUGAACUCCUUUAAAACUAAAAUACCUCUCAUUGACCCUACAGCAAUACUAAUACAGUCAUCACUGACAAGCUUUCAGCAGAUGGGAAAGUAUAUUUAUAGUCAUCUUCUAAAAUAUGUCCUUCAUUCCUGAAGUGUUCCCUUAUGCUAGUAGUCAGCAGGAAGCUGACUAAACUGGAGAUUCUACUAUGAUUUUAUGGUGUCUGUGAGGAAUGUCUUUUCUGGGGUGAAGGAAGCGAUCAUGCGCUUCUCAAUGCUAACAGACAUAUAGCAGACAUUCAGUGACAUUAUAGACACACAGAACUUUAAAAACAACUUAAUGGGAGUCUACAGGCAAUAAGUUUAUGGCUGAAAUCAAAGGCAACAUCGUUCCAUUUAAUGAUGCAAUCGUAGGAAAGUCAUUUUAGAGACAAAAGACGACUCUUUACACCCUUGGCAGAAAUCCCAGAA